CACGUAGGUGGUUAUGUAAGUCAGAUGUGAAAUCCCCGGGCUUAACCUAGGAACUGCAUUUGAAACUGUAUAACUAGAGUACUGUAGAGGGAGGUAGAAUUCCAGGUGUAGCGGUGAAAUGCGUAGAUAUCUGGAGGAAUACCGGUGGCGAAGGCGACGGUCUGGACCGAUAUUGACGUUGAGACGCGAAAGCGUGGGUAGCAAACA
rnacentral:rRNA from 1 species